rnacentral:lncRNA from 1 species
AAGAGGUAUAGAUCUUUCUUGAAGAAGAAGAAUCUAACAUAAAAAGAAAGAUUCAAGAUUGAUCUCGAUGGAUACCUAUAGAGGUCGGACAAGUGUGCAGCUUAAGGACCUUCGAAUCUGAGAUCAUCAGUAGCAAUGAAUUUCUACUGUGCAAAGGUAUUAAGAUUUGAUCUCAUCUUUAUUUUAUUUUUUAGAUUAUAUGUAUAUCUUUACUCCA